CUUUAGCCUUAUAUCUCUGGAUAGUAACGCGCCAGUAUGAGUAGGUUUCAUACUUGCAUUGUUUUGUUUGUCGGUAAGGACUUAAGGAGUGUGAUUGUUGCGGGGAAAACUGAAGACGUCAUUGGUUUCUGAGAUGGACAAAGAAAAUCAAAUCAAUGUUGCAGCAAUAAAAUGUGGUAUCCUUGAAAUAGAGACUGAGGCAAUAAAACAACACACAAACCUUAUUCAACUGAGGCAUGAGAAUAACAACCUUCAGGCAGAGUUAGAGAAAGUGGGUGCAGAACUGCAAAAAACCAAGCAAAUGAAAUUGACAUUAGAAGGUGAUCUGCAGUAUCAACAGAUGCGUCUUUCUGAACUUGAAAGACAACAAGUGAGCGGAGAAAAAUCACUGCAGCAAUCUAGAGCUGAAGCACAGGAACUGCGUGUACGAAUGAAAACUGAGAGGGCUUUACAAAUUGAAAAAUUGAAAUGUUACGAGAAAAAAAUGGCACAUCUGUCAAACUUACUUACUGGCGCCCCUGAAACCUUUGUGAACAUCCACAUACUGCUACAAAAGUUUACUGUUGAACAUCUAUGAGCAGUAAAAACAUAACCACAUAAUUCACGGUUCUUUCGGAAUAAUCAGGACCGUGAUGUUAUCUCCAAAGAAGUAGAAAUUAUGGAAAUGAGAGAGACUGAGCUGAAAGAUGGAAUUCAAAACAUACUAGGAGAGAUACAUGCCUUGAAAGAAAACUGGGCUUUGUCUGGUGACAGAAACCUUUCUGCUUUAGAAAAUGUCAGCUCAUUCUUAACCAAGGAUACACAAGCGAUUCAAACAGAGACUGAAAGGCUUGAAAAACAGCUUGGGGAACUUAUGGAAGAAGAAAAAGAACAAGACUCAGAACUUGAAAUCUUGCAAAGAAGAAAUUAAGAACUUUGAUUUCUGAUCAUAUUAAGUGAGUCAUGUGUAUUUGCUUAGGAAUGACACCAAAGGAUUAAUAAAAACAUGUCUACUGAAUAUUUGAAAUUGAUUAAUUUUAGUUGGUGAACUUUCUCUUUAGUGUUUCAUGUGGAAAUGAUUAAAGAAUUUUUGACAAGA